AACGAACGCUGGCGGCAUGCCUAACACAUGCAAGUCGAACGAGACCUUCGGGUCUAGUGGUUCACGGGUGCGUAACGCGUGGGAACCUGCCCUUAGGUUCGGAAUAACUCCCCGAAAGGGGUGCUAAUACCGGAUAAUGUCUUCGGACCAAAGAGUUAUCGCCUUUGGAUGGGCCCGCGUUGGAUUAGCUAGUUGGUAGGGUAAAAGCCUACCAAGGCGACGAUCCAUAGCUGGUCUGAGAGGAUGAUCAGCCACACUGGGACUGAGACACGGCCCAGACUCCUACGGGAGGCAGCAGUGGGGAAUAUUGGACAAUGGGCGAAAGCCUGAUCCAGCAAUGCCGCGUGAGUGAUGAAGGCCUUAGGGUUGUAAAGCUCUUUUACCCGGGAUGAUAAUGACAGUACCGGGAGAAUAAGCGCCGGCUAACUCCGUG
rnacentral:rRNA from 1 species